rnacentral:lncRNA from 1 species
AUGUUGUUCCCAGCAAAAGUGGAGCAUUGUGUAGGUGACUCACACCGCCAUACGUUGUGUGGAGACGCCAUACGUUGUGUGGAGACGCCAUGCGUUGUGUGGAGACCGCCAUACGUUGUGUGGAGACGCCAUACGUUGUGUGGAGACGCCAAACGUUGUGUGGAGACGCCAUACGUUGUGUGGAGACGCCAAACGUUGUGUGGAGAGCACCAUACGUUGUGUGGAGACGCCAUACGUUGUGUGGAGACGCCAAACGUUGUGUGGAGACGCCAUACGUUGUGUGGAGAGCACCAUACGUUGUGUGGAGACGCCAAACGUUGUGUGGAGAGCACCAUACGUUGUGUGGAGACGCCAAACGUUGUGUGGAGACGCCAUACGUUGUGUGGAGACGCCAAACAUUGUGUGGAGAGCAACAUACGUUGUGUGGAGACGCCAUACGUUGUGUGGAGAGCAACAUACGUUGUGUGGAGACGCCAAACGUUGUGUGGAGAGCACCAUACGUUGUGUGGAGACGCCAUACGUUGUGUGGAGACGCCAUACGUUGUGUGGAGAGCGCCAUACGUUGUGUGGAGACGCCAAACGUUGUGUGGAGAGCACCAUACGUUGUGUGGAGACGCCAUACGUUGUGUGGAGACGCCAUACGUUGUGUCGAGACGCCAUACGUUGUGUGGAGACGCCAUACGUUGUGUCGAGACGCCAUACGUUGUGUGGAGAGCACCAUACGUUGUGUGGAGACGCCAUACGUUGUGUGGAGACGCCAUACGUUGUGUGGAGACGCCAUACGUUGUGUGGAGAGCACCAUACGUUGUGUGGAGACGCCAUACGUUGUGUGGAGACGCCAUACGUUGUGUGGAGAGCACCAUACGUUGUGUGGAGACGCCAUACGUUGUGUGGAGAGCACCAUACGUUGUGUGGAGACGCUAUACGUUGUGUGGAGAGCACCAUACGUUGUGUGGAGAUGCCAUACGUUGUGUGGAGAGCACCAUACGUUGUGUGGAGAGCACCAUACGUUGUGUGGAGAGCACCAUACGUUGUGUGGAGAGCAGCGAGACACGGAGACGCUUUCCUGUCCCGGUUACUCAGCAGGACGCUGCUGGACUCUGGACUCAGGUCAACGACCCGCGUCCAAACAUUUCCACAGAAACAGCGUGUGUGUGUGUGUCUGUGUGUGUAUAUGUGUGUGUCUGUGUGUGUGUGUCUGUGUGUGUAUAUGUGUGUGUCUGUGUGUGUAUAUGUCUGUGUGUGCGUGUGUCUGCGUGUGUCUGCGUGUGUCUGCGUGUGUGUGUGUGUGUGAGGGUGCGUUUAUUUACGGUAAAGACAGACCCACUGGUGCAGGGGGGGGAGGGUCAGGGUUCAGAGCUCUGCAGGCUCCUCACAGCCCCUCCUCAGAUGUACAUACAUGUGAGUGACUUUUGUUCAAUUCUAUAUUUUAUCGCUUUUGUAGACAUUUUGUUGUGGGAAUAA